rnacentral:lncRNA from 1 species
AAUCAGAGGAAGAACAGCCUGCUCUGAGGUUGAACUUUGCAAAGCUGGGAAUGUUCCUUCUUUGAAGGAGAUCUUAGUUUAGGCAUUCAUUUUUAUUUUAUUUUUUAUAGAGUUAAUGAACCAGUCUUACAGUCUUCCUUUAGCCAAUGAGUUAAAGAAAUCUUUGCAUAAGUUUAUUCAAAUCAGAGGUUCCACCAAGAUAUCCCUGUAAAUGCACCUUCCAGAGCCAAUCUGUGUGUAGGCAUGGAAGCAAACAUCCUCUCUUGGCUUCUGCAGCAAAUUCCAAGUGGCAAUGGAACUUUACCUUCGCUGACUCUUUUGUUUCUUUUUUCCCGUGGAUUCUGUGCUUUUGUUUUUGUUUCUGGUUUUGGUUUUUAUAUAACUCAGAAGUUAUUUCCUAAUGUGCCAGAAAUGUUUGUGAAUUUGGUUUUAUAGCCUAUUUGAUCAUCCUUUUUAGGUGGAGACCUAUUCUGUUGGGUUAGAGAUGACAGAAAAUCUUAUUUGUCGGUUGGUUUGUUUGUUCAAGAAUACACUGACCUUCUACAAGAAAGGAGAGCUCUUUGACACCUGGAAAUAAGCUUGGGACAGCUCUGAAUGGCAACACGGUCCUGAGAUAUGUGAUUACCUGGGACUUUCAUUGGACCUGCAUUUCAGCUCUACUCUCCUCACUGCCCUAUGCUGCUUUGACCCUAAAAGUGAAGCCAGCUUGGCCAGGUGCAGUGACUCACACCUGUAAUCCCAGCACUUUGGGAGGCCGAGGUGGGCAAAUCAAGAAGUCAGGAAAUCGAGACCACCCUGGCCAACAUUGUGAAACACCAUCUCUACUAAAACACAAAAAAAUUAGCCAGGUGUGGUGGCACGCACCUGUAGUCCCAGCUACUCGGGAGGCUGAGGCAGGGGAAUCACUUGAACCCGUGAGGAGGAAAUUGCAGCGAGCCAAGAUCGCGCCACUGCACCCCAGCCUGGGCGACAGAGAGAGACUCCAUCUCAAAAACAAAACAAAACAAAACAAAAAAAACAAAAAGUGAAGCCAACUCAAUUGUCUCAUAGAACUGAUCUUUACGGUGUUUUUAAAUAAACAUAGAAAUUGGCCCUCCCAGUCUUAAAACUUCAAAAACUUACAUUUGUCUUACCUCAGUUCCUUUCUCAGGAAUCCAAUCAUCAAGGCUCCCAGAUAGUAUCAAUGAACGGAAACUUACCAGAUCACGAUAUCUGGACAAUGAGAUGUCAGAUCCCCCUCAUCCAUCCUGAUUACCUAACUGACUACCUGCUUCCUGUUGGCCAACUACUCUUCCUUACCCCUCCCUAAUUCUUGUUUUCCCACAAAUGGUUACAUUUCUGUCCUGCUAUAGAAGCCCUUAAUUUUAAUUGGUCGAGGAGAUGGAUUUGAGACUGAUUUUUUGCUCUCCUUGGCUGUUGCACCUGAAUAGCCUUUUUCCCUGGCAAUACUUUUUGUCUCAGUGAUUGGCUUUCUGUGCAGUGAGCAAUGGGACCAAACUUCUGGUGUUUUGGUAACAAAUUUUGGUUUCCUGACUGUGAAUGCAUUGCUUGUGACUCAGCUGCCAUGAGCUGGGAGAGUUUCAAAAGCCCUCUAAGCAGCUACCUGACCAUUUUGGCCAGAGGUGGAUUUUCGUCUCUCCCCAUUUGGGCCCACUUCUGCCAACCCCAACCAUGUUCCUGAUUGCCUAGGAAGAACAGCCUUUGAAAUUUGACGUCUAUGUACAGAAAGGUGAGUGUCUUUUAUGGGUACUAGACAGUGGGAAUGGUUCCUCUCCAUUUGGGAAAUCCCAAAGGCAUAUCAGUUUGCAGGUUAAACAAGCCAAACUGAUGGAGAGAGGAUAAUACCUUGACUGAUUCAGUUUGAACACUCUUGGGGCUUGUUCAUUGCUACAGAAGUUGGAUUGUGUUUUGGUGAUUGUUUGCUUGUGUAUGUCUAUGUAGUUAUGGGAUGUCAGGGUUUGAUCCCAGAGUGCAGCCCACAUGGGUGCAUUCUUUGGGUUAGUCUGUAUGUAGUUGUGGGUUGACAGAGCAGGGGAAAUUCUACAGCCAUACCACUCUGAGUGUGGCUGAUCUUGUCUGAUCGCGAUGUCUUUGCAUUGUAGUGCUGUCUUACAAUUGAAUUCAUUUUGCUGUUGAAUGGGAAAGCAGGAUGGAGGUCCAUGUAUGUAUGCUUUUAUGCUGCUGCUCUGAACAGGGUUGGGCCUGAUUAGUACUGUGAUGCUCUUCUGUGGUGCUGUUUGGCCCCAGUGUUCUUUGGAAUCCGGGGAAUUUUGGCCUUUAAAAGUUAAACUGCCAUGGGAACUGAUUUACCCAGUUUUAGUUCAUAGCCUUCAUUGUAUUAUCUAUCAGGGCAAAAAAGUUAGCCGUGUGAACAUGUUCGUAAACCAGUGAGUUUGUAUUGCUAUCUCAUGCCUAGAAUUCUAAAGUAAAAACUAUUGGGUCUUUGUUUGUAUAUAUGUAUAUGGGUCUAAAUGUUAUGUGUUGUUUUUACAGGGUACAGAUUGGCUCAUAAAUAAAAGAGCACUC